CUUUGUUGAUGGACCCAGGGAAACUGGAAAAACAUACUUAUAUAGAGCAUUACUGACAAAUGUUAGAUUAAGAGGUAUGAUAGCCUUAGCAAUAGCAACCAGUGGCGUAACAACUUCAAUUUUACCAGGAGGUCGUACAGCUCACUCUAGGUUUGACAUUCCUCUCCAAACAAAUGAAACGACCAUGACAAACAUGCCAAACAAAGUGGUGCAGCCAAAUUGAUUCGAAAAGCAAAAUUAAUGAUAUGGGAUGAAGCGCCCAUGGCCAAGCGACAAACAAUAGAAACAGUCGACAGGAGCUUUAGAGAUAUAAUGGACAUCGAUGAACCUUUUGGUGGAAAAGUCAUGGUUUUUGGAGGUGAUUUUCGUCAGGUAUUAGCAGUUGUUCCAAAAUUUACAAGAGUAGAAAUAGUCAAUGCAAGCUUGGUAAAAUCAUAUCUAUGGCCUUUGAUGGAAAAAAUCAAAUUUAUCAGAAAUAUAAGAGCAAGAACUGAUCCAACAUUUAGUGAGUUCUUACUUCGUGUUGGCAACGGAGAAGAGCCUACAAUAAAAGAUAAUUUGAUCCUUCUUCUAGAACAUUUGGCUGUCAAGUAUAAUAGCGAUGGUAUUGCUGAAGAAUGCUUAAUAAACGAAAUAUACCCAUCACUACAAGAGAAUGCUAACUCUGCAAAAUAUGUAACGGAGAGGGCUAUAUUAGCAAGCAGAAAUGAGCAUGUUGAUAAGCUAAAUGAGAGGUUGAUAGAUAUGUUCCCAGGUGAAAGCAAAACAUUUAUUAGUUUUGACUCUGCAGAAGAUGACACCAAUAAUUAUUACCAGGAAGAAUAUCUAAACACUUUAACACCCAAUGGCUUCCCCGCAUAGGUUAGUAUUGAAGGAGAACGCACCUAUAACGCUACUCAGGAAUCUAGACCCUUCAAAUGGCUUAUGUAACGGAACAAGAAUGAUAUGCAGAGGCUUUAACAACAACAUUUUACAUGCAGAAAUUAUGAUUGGUCAUUGUGCAACAAAGCAUGUGUUUAUACCACACAUUCAGCUUUCACCCCUGAAAAUGAAGGAUAUCCUUUCAAGUUCAUUCGGAAGCAAUUUCCAGUACGUCUUUGCUUUGCCAUGACAAUAAAUAAAGCACAAGGCCAAACCAUUCCCAAUGUUGGCUUGUAUUUGCCACAACAUGUCUUUCGCAUGGACAACUGUAUGUUGCACUUUCAAGAGGGAUAUCAAUAUCCACAACAAAAGUUCCUGUCAUGACAGAGCAACCGACAUGUAAAAAUGGAACAUAUACCAAAAACAUCGUCUACAAGGAAGUGUUAGGUUCAGACGACAUAUAAACAUUGAAGUCCAAUAAUUAACUCAUAAAAUAGAAAAAUCAUUCUUCAGUUGAGCUUGUAAUUUUACUCUUAC